rnacentral:rRNA from 1 species
AAAGGAAUUGACGGGGACUUGCACAAGUAGUGGAUUAUGUGGUUUAAUUCGACGAUAAACGAAAAACCUUACCAAGAUUAGAAACCAAUUUGAAAGCUUUAAGAAAUUAGAGCCCUCGCAAGACAAAUUGGCAGGUGAUGCAUGGCCGUCGUCAGUUCGUGGUUUGAACUGUUCCCUUAAGUGGGGUAACGAACGCAACCCUCAUCGUGUGUUAUACGUGUCACACGAGACCGCCCCGUGAAAUGAGCAAGAGUAAAACUCGUGCCUGUUUCACGGGGAGGAAGGAGAGGAUGACGCCAGGUCAGCAUGUCCCUAGAUAUCUUGGGCUACACACAUAAUACAAUCGCAAUUACAACGGGUCGCGACGAGGCAACUCUGAGCUAAUCCUUAUAAAAAUUGCGCCAGUUCGGAUUGGGGGCUGCAACUCGACCCCAUGAAGUCGGAAUUACUAGUAAUCGCGGGUCAGAUAUACCGCGGUGAAUACGUUCUCAAGUCUUGUACACACCGCCCGU